GUCUGAAGUAAAGGUUUUCGUGCAGUCGUCAAUAACCGUUUUGUUUAAUCGUCCAGUUGCAAGUUAAAUGCAUAUCCAUGCAGGUCAAGAUCAUGAUAAUGAUAUAUGAAUGUUGAAACUAUUUUGUUCUACAUUGCGCUGGACUUUCACUCGUGUGUUCAAAAUGCAACAGUCAGAGUAAAGACAUUUAUAUAUCUUAUAAGUGGAUGCGGC
rnacentral:lncRNA from 1 species